AACGAACGCUGACGGCGUGGCUAAGACAUGCAAGUCGUACGGACUUUUCAAUUGAGUAAUCGAGAGAAAGGUUAGUGGCGAAAGGGUGAGUAAUGCAUAGGUAACGUACCUUGGGCAUCGGGAUAGCUGCGGUCUUCGGACCUUUAGCGAAAGUGCAGGUAAUACCGGAUAAUAUCAUCGAGCCUCAUGGUUUGAUGAUCAAAGGUUUCGGCUGGCCUUAGAGCGGCCUAUGUCGUAUCAGCUUGUUGGUAGGGUAACGGCCUACCAGGGCAUCGACGCGUAGCGGGACUGAGAGGUUGAUCCGCCACAUUGGGACUGAGACACUGCCCAGACCCCCACGGGGGGCUGCAGUAACGAAUCUUGCGCAAUGGGCGAAAGCCCGACGCAGCGACGCCGCGUGUAGGAUGAAGUCUUUCGGGAUGUAAACUAUUGUCAGGGGUAAGAAAGUGCGCUUCGGCGCGUUGAUCGAACCCAAAGGAAGUACACGCUAACUU
rnacentral:rRNA from 1 species